rnacentral:rRNA from 1 species
UACGUAGGGUCCGAGCGUUGUCCGGAUUUAUUGGGCGUAAAGAGCUCGUAGGCGGCUUGUCACGUCGGAUGUGAAAGCCCGGGGCUUAACCCCGGGUCUGCAUUCGAUACGGGCAGGCUAGAGUUCGGUAGGGGAGAUCGGAAUUCCUGGUGUAGCGGUGAAAUGCGCAGAUAUCAGGAGGAACACCGGUGGCGAAGGCGGAUCUCUGGGCCGAUACUGACGCUGAGGAGCGAAAGCGUGGGGAGCGAACAGG